GCCUCAGUGAUGGAAUGGCAUACAUGUUAGGUUUAGAACCUAAAUUCUACAGGUUCGAAUCCUGUCUGAGGUA
rnacentral:tRNA from 1 species